rnacentral:tRNA from 1 species
UGGCUCAGUGGUAGAGCAUGGGGUUUGCAACGCCAGGGUUGUGGGUUCGUUUCCCAC